rnacentral:piRNA from 1 species
UGCUAUGUUGCGUUCUCGGAGCUUGAGAUG